rnacentral:rRNA from 1 species
CCUACGGGAGGCAGCAGUAGGGAAUCUUCCACAAUGGGCGAAAGCCUGAUGGAGCAACGCCGCGUGGGUGAAGAAGGUCUUCGGAUCGUAAAACCCUGUUGUUAGAGAAGAAAGUGCGUGAGAGUAACUGUUCACGUUUCGACGGUAUCUAACCAGAAAGCCACGGCUCACUACGUGCCAGCAGCCGCGGUAAUACGUAGGUGGCAAGCGUUAUCCGGAUUUAUUGGGCGUAAAGGGAACGCAGGCGGUCUUUUAAGUCUGAUGUGAAAGCCUUCGGCUUAACCGGAGUAGUGCAUUGGAAACUGGGAAACUUGAGUGCAGAAGAGGAGAGUGGAACUCCAUGUGUAGCGGUGAAAUGCGUAGAUAUAUGGAAGAACACCAGUGGCGAAAGCGGCUCUCUGGUCUGUAACUGACGCUGAGGUUCGAAAGCGUGGGUAGCAAACAGGAUUAGAUACCCGGGUAGUC